AGUUUUUCCUUGUGUGAUGUGAGGGUCUAAGGACAGAGGGUGUCGUAACCUGUACAGUCUGUAAAGCACAAAGACAGACAAAUGUAUAAUUUGUGAUAUUGGGCUUAGAUUUGAUUUGAUUUAUAGAAGGUUUAAAUGGAAUCCUCAACUGUCCUGUUAAAUGUCCAAAAUUAAAAUAGGAGAGCAUCAAAACAGUAGCAUUAGGGAACCAUAUGAGAAACUCGACUCACCACAGAUUUAGGGACACGAGGCACGGGCUUGUUAGGAACUCAAGAAAAUUGAAUCCUGUCGCCAGGAACUGGGUUACACAAUAACACAAUAGUAACACCAUGUAGUUCUAUAAAUAAACUGUAAGAGCUUCCCACUCCUUCCCUUCUCUCCUCCCACCUCCUUGAUGUCCAACAUUAAACAGGCUGCCAUGACAUCUUCUCGUGUGAGCGAGUGAGUAGGUGUCAAGUCAAACUGAAGCUGUCAAGUCAAGCUGGAGCUGUCCAGAUAGUAAUGGGACAAACCGGAUGUGACCAAUCUGCCUGAGUGUCCCAUUUAAAAGAGCGCCGCUUGGCGUUAUGGAAGCGCAGAGAGGAUGUGUUCGUGACUACGUCGAAAUCCGGACCAAGAUUGUGCAGGGCCCAAAUAUCUAUCGAGACCAAAGAGGCAGCCGGUAACACGCUGAACCUUUUAGCUUGAGAGACUGUUACCUGCUGGAGAUCGCUGCCGCUACUCGUUUGAUUGACGCUGGAUUUAUGUCAUGAUCGGUAGCGCACUUGUGUGUGUGGCUCGCUGUGGAAACCCGUCUGUUGGAUCAGGAUGAAGAUGAGAACGUCCGGAGCUCUAUGUGGCUUCUUCCUGUUGACACUCGUUGUCCUCGCCGCCGCCAGGCCGAGAGCAGAGGAGAGUCAGGUUGGAGAUCGAGGUGAAGGACCCGUGUGCCUGUGAGGGUCUGGUGGAGUUCCAGCAAGCUACCAUGAGCAGCCUGGAGCAGAUCACACAGAAACAUAUCCUUUUAAAAAACAUUGUCGUCCAAACAAGACCAAAGCAAAGAAAUAAAUAUUCUGUAGACGAACAAACAGAUAAAGUGACUCUGCGGGUUC
rnacentral:lncRNA from 1 species